UGGUGGUGGUGGUGAGCACCUGGGAUUCGAACUGCAGCAGCUGCCCCAUGAAGCUGAAGUUGGGCGAGAUGAUGCUCCGGCGCUGCUUGACGAACUCGAAGGCUUCCUCCAGCCUCACGCGUUUCUUCAUCAUCAGCUUCAUACUCUCCUGGCACCAGGUCGUCCCCGCUGUGAUGGACUACGCCCUUCUUAAACUGCAAGCCGGAGUCCUUUCCUCCCUUAAGUUGCUUUGUAUCCAAUAAUUGGUGAGCGCAAUGGCGGCAAUACAAGGGGACUGCCCUA